UACGUAGGGGGCGAGCGUUGUCCGGAAUUAUUGGGCGUAAAGAGCGUGUAGGCGGUUCGGUAAGUCUGCCGUGAAAACCCGGGGCUCAACCCCGGGCGUGCGGUGGAUACUGCCGGGCUAGAGGGUGGUAGAGGCGAGUGGAAUUCCCGGUGUAGCGGUGAAAUGCGCAGAUAUCGGGAGGAACACCAGUAGCGAAGGCGGCUCGCUGGGCCAUUCCUGACGCUGAGACGCGAAAGCUAGGGGAGCGAACAGG
rnacentral:rRNA from 1 species